rnacentral:rRNA from 1 species
GACGAACGCUGGCGGCGUGCUUAACACAUGCAAGUCGAACGGAAAGGCCCUGCUUUUGUGGGGUGCUCGAGUGGCGAACGGGUGAGUAACACGUGAGUAACCUGCCCUUGACUUUGGGAUAACUUCAGGAAACUGGGGCUAAUACCGGAUAGGAGCUCCUGCUGCAUGGUGGGGGUUGGAAAGUUUCGGCGGUUGGGGAUGGACUCGCGGCUUAUCAGCUUGUUGGUGGGGUAGUGGCUUACCAAGGCUUUGACGGGUAGCCGGCCUGAGAGGGUGACCGGGCCCAAUGGGAACUGGGAACGGGCCCAGACCCUAAGGGGGGGCGGCGGGGGGGAAAUUUGCCAAAGGGGGGGAGGCCUGAUGCAGCAACGCCGGGGGGGGAAUAACGGCCUUGGGGUGUAAAACCCUUUUGCCUGGGAAGGAGGGGGGGGGGACGGAAAUGGUAAAAAAAGACCCGGCAAACUAGGG